UACGUAGGUGGCAAGCGUUGUCCGGAAUUAUUGGGCGUAAAGCGCGCGCAGGUGGUUCCUUAAGUCUGAUGUGAAAGCCCACGGCUCAACCGUGGCGGGUCAUUGGAAACUGGGGAACUUGAGUGCAGAAGAGGAAAGUGGAAUUCCACGGUUAGCGGUGAAAUGCGUAGAGACGUGGAGGCACACCAGUGGCGAAGGCGACUUUCUGGUCUGUAACUGACACUGAGGCGCGAAAGCGUGGGGAGCGAACAGG
rnacentral:misc_RNA from 1 species